UACUGGGGGCUCCUGCUGAUUUCUAAACUCCAACUCAGCCAGGGUCCACCCACCAGGUGUCUGCUCUCUCACCAGGUCCUUCUGCUCCCUGACCUCCCACUAAUGUCUCCUCAUGGUCCCCUCCCCAACUGCGCCCUUACCCAGUGCUCCCUGCAUGCUGGCUGUGGGCUCUACCCCAGGAUCCUCUCGCUUUCUUCUAGUGGCCUCAACGCUUAGCCCUACUUAGGGUUGCAGCUUCUAGGCCCCUGCCCAGGCAUUCACAAGGGGGUGAUCACCUCUGAGGUAGCAGCCAGCCUCAGAUCCCACAGAGCUAGCUCCUUCCCAGACAGCAUGACCACCACAGCUCUGAGGCUCGGACCUCACGGGACAGUCCCAACUCUCCUUUUGCCUUCAUCCACCAGCCCCUAGCAACACAGGAUCCCAGCAAUAAUUUGUGAAGGAGUAAACAUGCAUCUACCCAUUGAUCCUCUCUUCAGGCUUGGAUCCAUCCCUGCAGGCUCUGGACCCAGGACUAAGACAUAAGGAAGAGGCUAGCUUCUCAUCACUCCUCAGUCUAGUCUGAUGGCAGGCAGCAAGGUUGCUGUGCUGGUUUCCCCUAGCCAGCCUUUGACACAGUCCUUCCUCACCGUCACUGGGCCAGGUCCACACUCAGAACCCUUCAUGGGCACAGCCACACCAAUCCAUAGAGCGGAAGCUUCUGGAGUCCUUCAGCCCUUCCACGUCUUUCACUCAGCUAGGAAAUGCAAGGAGCUGUAUCCCCCGCCACCACUCCCAGGUCAUCUCAGGCUGCACCUAAAUUUCUGAAAGCCCCUCACUUCCUAGGUCUACAUUCCCCUGGGAGAGACAGACCAAUAAUAAAGUAUUGUGCAAUACGAUAACAAUAGUCAUUUCCUGUUUCUUCAGCUCAAAACCAGAGCCUAGUGCCUCCUAGGAAAGUUGCUCUACCACUAAGCCAUAUUCCCAUCCUCUAGUAACAUCUCCUUCCCUCCCCGUCCUGCUCUUCCUCCCCUCCCCCUGAGACUCCAUAGCCCAAGCUGCCCUGACAACCCAUUUGCUGCCGUCUCCCAAAUGCUGGGAUUUUAAGUGUGAGGCACACUCCCGGCAUUUUAGUAGGUCCUUUGCAGAAGCAAAGACACGUGGAGGACAGGGUUCUGGUGGGGAGGGGUAACAGCCUGCUGAGCAAGAAUCCCUAAUAGAGUGAAGGCCUGAAUCACAGGGCCCAGCGGUACAAAGGCCCUGAGGCAGCAGUCAGCUGAGGAGGUUACAAUGACUGGGUCUAUGAGGGUGGCUGGGAUGAAGGAUGCAAAGCUAAGGCUUCCAGGAGCUGUUGAAGGAGAGGGAGAAUUGGUGCUGGGCUCACAAGCCUUUGAAUAAGAACAGUCCUUCAGAGAUUGUUAAGCAGAUUACUUCCAUCAGUAUUGAGCCUGGAGUGGAGGUUGAAGUCACCAUUGCAGAUGCCUAAGCCAACUGUUUAAAUAAAUUGACUUAAUUGUUAAAAAAAAAAAAAAAAGAAUUCAGGACGUGGU
rnacentral:lncRNA from 1 species